rnacentral:rRNA from 1 species
GAUGAACGCUAGCGGCAGGCUUAAUACAUGCAAGUCGAGGGGCAGCAGGACUGUAGCAAUACAGUUGCUGGCGACCGGCAAACGGGUGCGGAACACGUACGCAACCUUCCUUCAAAUGGGGGAUAGCCCACCGAAAGGUGGAUUAAUACCCCGUAACAUUUUCUGGUGGCAUCACUGGAUUAUUAUAGCUCCGGCGUUUG